rnacentral:rRNA from 1 species
CUACGGGGUGCUGCAGUGAGGAAUAUUGCACAAUGGGGGGAACCCUGAUGCAGCAACGCCGCGUGGAGGAUGACGCAUUUCGGUGUGUAAACUCCUUUUAUAUGUCAAGAAAAUGACGGCAGCAUAUGAAUAAGCACCGGCUAACUCCGUGCCAGCAGCCGCGGUAAUACGGAGGGUGCAAGCGUUACUCGGAAUCACUGGGCGUAAAGGACGCGUAGGCGGGUUGGAAAGUCAGGUGUGAAAUCCUACAGCUUAACUGUAGAACUGCACUUGAAACUUCUAAUCUAGAGUAUGGAGGGGGAGAUGGAAUUAGUGGUGUAGGGGUAAAAUCCGUAGAUAUCACUAGGAAUACCUAAAGCGAAGGCGAUCUCCUGGAACAUUACUGACGCUAAGGCGUGAAAGCGUGGGGAGCAAACAGGAUUAGAUACCCUCGUAGUC